rnacentral:rRNA from 1 species
ACGGUGGAUGCCCUGGCAGUCAGAGGCGAUGAAGGGCGUGCUAAUCUGCGAUAAGCGCCGGUAAGGUGAUAUGAACCGUUAUAACCGGCGAUACCCGAAUGGGGAAACCCAGUGUGACUCGUCACACUAUCAUUAACUGAAUCCAUAGGUUAAUGAGGCGAACCGGGGGAACUGAAACAUCUAAGUACCCCGAGGAAAAGAAAUCAACCGAGAUUCCCCCAGUAGCGGCGAGCGAACGGGGAGGAGCCCAGAGCCUGAAUCAGCAUGUGUGUUAGUGGAAGCGUCUGGAAAGGCGCGCGAUACAGGGUGACAGCCCCGUACACAAAAGCGCAUGUGCUGUGAGCUCGAUGAGUAGGGCGGGACACGUGGUAUCCUGUCUGAAUAUGGGGGGACCAUCCUCCAAGGCUAAAUACUCCUGACUGACCGAUAGUGAACCAGUACCGUGAGGGAAAGGCGAAAAGAACCCCGGCGAGGGGAGUGAAAAAGAACCUGAAACCGUGUACGUACAAGCAGUGGGAGCACCCUUUGGGUGUGACUGCGUACCUUUUGUAUAAUGGGUCAGCGACUUAUAUUCUGUAGCAAGGUUAACCGAAUAGGGGAGCCGGAGGGAAACCGAGUCUUAAUUGGGCGUUAAGUUGCAGGGUAUAGACCCGAAACCCGGUGAUCUAGCCAUGGGCAGGUUGAAGGUUGGGUAACACUAACUGGAGGACCGAACCGACUAAUGUUGAAAAAUUAGCGGAUGACCUGUGGCUGGGGGUGAAAGGCCAAUCAAACCGGGAGAUAGCUGGUUCUCCCCGAAAGCUAUUUAGGUAGCGCCUCGUGAAUUCAUCUCCGGGGGUAGAGCACUGUUUCGGCUAGGGGGCCAUCCCGGCUUACCAACCCGAUGCAAACUGCGAAUACCGGAGAAUGUUAUCACGGGAGACACACGGCGGGUGCUAACGUCCGUCGUGAAGAGGGAAACAACCCAGACCGCCAGCUAAGGUCCCAAAGUCAUGGUUAAGUGGGAAACGAUGUGGGAAGGCCCAGACAGCCAGGAUGUUGGCUUAGAAGCAGCCAUCAUUUAAAGAAAGCGUAAUAGCUCACUGGUCGAGUCGGCCUGCGCGGAAGAUGUAACGGGGCUAAACCAUGCACCGAAGCUGCGGCAGCGACGCUUAUGCGUUGUUGGGUAGGGGAGCGUUCUGUAAGCCUGCGAAGGUGGCCUGUGAGGGUUGCUGGAGGUAUCAGAAGUGCGAAUGCUGACAUAAGUAACGAUAAAGCGGGUGAAAAGCCCGCUCGCCGGAAGACCAAGGGUUCCUGUCCAACGUUAAUCGGGGCAGGGUGAGUCGACCCCUAAGGCGAGGCCGAAAGGCGUAGUCGAUGGGAAACGGGUUAAUAUUCCCGUACUUGGUGUUACUGCGAAGGGGGGACGGAGAAGGCUAUGUUGGCCGGGCGACGGUU